GGUAUUCUGGCAGACCGCGCCAUCUGCCGUCGAUCCUGCGCGGCUCCGAGCCUCGCAUGAUGGCUCGACCCGGCUCCGAGCCCGGAGCACCGAUUAGCCAAACACCCCAUCCCAAAAUUCCUCCCAAUUCUCAUCCCACGCGCACGCAGAAUCGCCGUCGAAUAUCCCGUUUCUCAUCUCGCGGUGACCCUGAGGCGGCCCUUCCCCUCUCGCGGCAAUAGUGCCCUCUGCCCUCCCGAACCAGCGACACCAUCUUGAGUGCCCGGGAGGCGAUGAAGUCAGAUUCCAGCGGCAGACAGGCCACGGAGACGGAGAGAUCCUAACCAGGUCGCGCAUGGGAGAUCAGGUUACGCCGUUCUCACUGCCCACUUAUUAGACUGCCAAACGAUUCCGAUUUAUUAGGCAAACGUGCUUGCGAUCUCCAAUUAAAGCAAAGAGGUAUAUCGCAGUAAGCUUGUCACUAGGAUUUUGCUUCUCGUAAAUUAUAUACAAUACUGAAGUCAUCAGUACGUUUUGGGUCAUUGCUGAAGCCAUUGCUAUCACCAUGCUAUGCUGGAUUCUAAAAAAUUUGGCAUCAUUUUAUAGUAACUUGAUUGUGCCAUUCUAGUAUAUUGAUUAUGCAUGCCAUUGUUGUAAAUUUGACCAUGUAAGUAUCAAUUUUCGUAAUUCUGGUACGAGGGAUUCUAAUAAACUCGACACUAUUUUAUACUAACUUGAUUAUGCCAUUGUGGUAAAUGAUCUUGUGGUUAAUUAAUGAUGCCAUUCUUGUAAAAUUGGCCAAACCAUUAACCUAACCAUUCUAGUAAAUUGAUGAUGGCAUUGUGGUAAAUUCAAACAAGCAUGGCUGUCUUAUCAUUCAAUGUCCUCGCUUUUUUCAGAGUAAUAUUUUUGAUUUUUCACCCUUGCAGAUUGAAAAUUGAUAUGUUCAGCAGUCCUGUAGUAAGGAGCUUACGAUCCCUAUUAACAAAAAGAUAUCUGCCGUAGCUUCCAAUAACUGCAAAGAUAUUAUAGUAGAUGUGUUGUUGUAAAUUUGUUUUUUCACAAAUCCGAGACACAAGACCAUACAAAAUGGUAGUAGUGUAUGAGAAUUUUAUGGGUAUAAUUAGCAUUGUUUGCUUUUCUAGCUGCUCUAGUUUUCAGUUGUAGUAUAGUAUAUUCAGUAUUAAGAUCUUUCAGCUGCUCUGUUUUCAGUUGCAAAAUAGAGGACCAAGUAUCCCUAUUGUGUUAGUGCUUGCAAGUUAGUUUCCUUCUACUCGGCUGUUGUCAAUUCAUUAUGCGCUGCAUGAUUCUUCAUAUUUUUGCAAUUUAUCUACCCAGAUGUUGAUUUAUGCCUAAUCUGCAUGCAUAUUUGCUCUCAAUCAUCUAAACACUUAUUACAGAUGUGAAAUGAACAUAUUUGUUUACUAUUCUCCUUGUUAUGAAGUUUUUAGGUGAUGAGGCCUUGUGGCAAGUUCUGGGCAAGAUGCGCUUACUUAAGAGCAGCUAAUAGGCAUGGUUGAUUAAUUCUGAGUUCAGUAUGCGGCCAACUUGCUGCAACUGAACGAGAGAAGCUCCAAAUGAUUCUCUAAUUCUGAUGUACACAUAUAUGUGUCUAUAAGUGUGUAAUGUUUUCUAAAUUAUUGUACAGUACUUAAAGCAAGUCGUAGUUGUGCCA